GGGAGUUUGGUCUGGUGGUAUGAUUCUCACUUCAGGUGCGAGAGGCCGCGAGUUCGUACUUCUCGCAACUCCCU
rnacentral:tRNA from 1 species